CAGGCUGUGCCCUUAGGGGACCCAGACUAGGUGGGUAGGUGGGUCGGUGGGCAGGUGGGCAGGUGGGUGAGUUCAUGGUUGCAGGGAUAAAGCCAUAGCUAACACUGUCUCAGAUUUUGGGGUACCAGCCUCCUCCCCCAGUGUGGGCUCCAGCUGUUGCUGAGAGCUGGAUGUUGCAAGCCUGCGGUUAGUUGGCUCACUGAGGCUGCAGAUGGUGAUAAGACACAGGGUGAUAUUUAAAGGAGCGAUGUAUCUCCCUGGGUGUCAC